rnacentral:rRNA from 1 species
GACGAACGCUGGCGGCGUGCUUAACACAUGCAAGUCGAGCGGUAAGGCCCUUUCGGGGGUACGACGAGCGGCGAACGGGUGAGUAACACGUGGGUGACCUGCCCUCAGCUCUGGGAGUAAGCCUGGGAAACCGGGUCUAAUACUGGAUAUGACUCCAUGACGCAUGUUGUGGGGUGGAAAGCCUUGUGCGGCUGAGGAUGGGCCCGCGGCCUAUCAGCUUGUUGGUGGGGUGAUGGCCUACCAAGGCGACGACGGGUAGCCGGCCUGAGAGGGCGACCGGCCACACUGGGACUGAGACACGGCCCAGACUCCUACGGGAGGCAGCAGUGGGGAAUCUUGCGCAAUGGGCGAAAGCCUGACGCAGCGACGCCGCGUGAGGGAUGACGGCC